rnacentral:miRNA from 1 species
AGUUGGCAUGGAUGGUACUGUA